rnacentral:rRNA from 1 species
UACGAAGGGGGCUAGCGUUGUUCGGAAUCACUGGGCGUAAAGGGCGCGUAGGCGGCUGUUCAAGUCGGGGGUGAAAGCCUGCGGCUCAACCACAGAAUUGCCUUCGAUACUGGACGGCUGGAGACCGGAAGAGGUCAGUGGAACUGCGAGUGUAGAGGUGAAAUUCGUAGAUAUUCGCAAGAACACCAGUGGCGAAGGCGGCUGACUGGUCCGGUUCUGACGCUGAGGCGCGAAAGCGUGGGGAGCAAACAGG